UACGUAGGGGGCUAGCGUUGUCCGGAAUCAUUGGGCGUAAAGGGCGCGUAGGCGGCCUUCUAAGUCGAACGUGAAAUCCCCGGGCUCAACCCGGGAACUGCGUCCGAUACUGGAAGGCUCGAAUCCGGGAGAGGGAUGCGGAAUUCCAGGUGUAGCGGUGAAAUGCGUAGAUAUGCGGAGGAACACCGAUGGCGAAGGCAAUCCCCUGGGCCAACACUGACGCUCAGGCACGAAAGCGUGGGGAGCAAACAGG
rnacentral:rRNA from 1 species